rnacentral:rRNA from 1 species
UACGAAGGGUGCAAACGUUGUCCGGAUUUAUUGGGCGUAAAGAGCGUGUAGGCGGUUCGGUAGGUCCGUUGUGAAAACUCGAGGCUCAACCUCGAGACGCCGAUGGAAACCAUCGAACUAGAGUCCGGAAGAGGAGAGUGGAAUUCCUGGUGUAGCGGUGAAAUGCGCAGAUAUCAGGAAGAACACCCGUGGCUAAGGCGGCUCUCUAGUACGGUACUGACGCUGAGACGCGAAAGCGUGGGGAGCGAACAGG